AGUGAACGCUGGCGGUAGGCCUAACACAUGCAAGUCGAACGGCAGCACAGUAAGAGCUUGCUCUUACGGGUGGCGAGUGGCGGACGGGUGAGGAAUACAUCGGAAUCUACUUUUUCGUGGGGGAUAACGUAGGGAAACUUACGCUAAUACCGCAUACGACCUACGGGUGAAAGCAGGGGAUCUUCGGACCUUGCGCGUUUGAAUGAGCUGAUGUCGGAUUAGCUAGUUGGCGGGGUAAAGGCCCACCAAGGCGACGAUCCGUAGCUGGUCUGAGAGGAUGAUCGGCCACACUGGAACUGAGACACGGUCCAGACUCCUACGGGAGGCAGCAGUGGGGAAUAUUGGGCAAUGGGCGCAAGCCUGAUCCAGCCAUACCGCGUGGGUGAAGAAGGCCUUCGGGUUGUAAAGCCCUUUUGUUGGGAAAGAAAAGCAGCAGGUUAAUACCCCGCUGUUCUGACGGUACCCAAAGAAUAAGCACCGGCUAACUUCGUG
rnacentral:rRNA from 1 species